rnacentral:tRNA from 1 species
GGGAUAUUGAUGUAAUGGUAGCUUGACACCUUGCCAUGGUGUACGCGUGGGUUCGAUUCCCGCAUAUCCCUC